rnacentral:lncRNA from 1 species
UACAAUAAAAAUACCUUUAUUGGCAUUUCAAGUUAAGACAUUCCAAAAUGGCUUGAGAUACAAAGUCUUUCUUCUUCCUGUUUCCUGUUUCCAAGAGAUUUGAAUGGGGAAAUCCUUUCGAUUCUUCAAUAAUAAGAGGCAGUGGGGUGAGGGAGGCCAGGGCCACAUCCACACCAUUUAACGCGCUAUGAAGCCACUUUAAACACUCAUGGCUAAACACCCCCAAAGACUCUGGGAGCUAUAGUUGGAAAAGGGUGCCAAGAGUUGUUAGGGGACCCCGUUCCCUGCCAAGGGAACCCUACCACUACCCCUACCCCUACCCCUGACGCUCACCCUAACUCUAGCCCUAACACUAACCUUUAAGCCUUAACUAGAGCUACAAUUCCCAGAGUUCCCUGGCAAAAAGGGAACCCUAACCCUAAUCCUAACCCUGCCCCCUAACUAGAGCUACAAUUCCCAGAGUUCCCUGCCAAGGGAACCCCAACCCUACCCCUGCCCCUGACGCUAACCCUAAUUCUAACCCUUAGCCUUAAUUAGAGCUACAAUUCCCAGGGUUCCCUGGCAAGAAGGGAACCCUAACCCUAACCCUAACCCUGCCCCUAACUAGAGCUACAAUUCCCAGAGUUCCCUGGCAAAAAGGGAACCCCAACCCUACCCCUGCUCCUGACGCUAACCCUAACUCUAACCCUUAACUAGAGCUACAAUUCCCAGAGUUCCCUGGCAAGAAGGAACCCUACCCCUACCCCUACCCCUACCCCUACCCCUACCCCAACCCCUACCCUACCCCUAGUCCUAAUACUUAACCACCAUAACAAGUCUCCGUCCCCUUAACCACCUACAGUUCCCAGAAUCCCUGAGGGGAAGCCAUUCCUGUUUAAAGCAUCUUCAUAGCACUUUCAAUGGACGGUGCGCCUAAUGUGGCCUAAUGUUUCCUCCCUCAUUUUCUUCUCUCUCCCCACUGCCCCAUCACUUGCAAUGCAGCAGGUGUCCGCCUGCAGUCUCCCUUCAAAGCUCCUUCUCUCAGGUAUGGCCACGGCCUUGUCCAUUGCUCGCUGCCAGUAUUUCACGUUCACUUCUUCUUCCUGUUUCCUGUUUCCAAGAGAUUUGAAUGGGGAAAUCCUUUCGAUUCUUCAAUAAUAAGAGGCAGUGGGGUGAGGGAGGCCAGGGCCACAUCCACACCAUUUAACGCGCUAUGAAGCCACUUUAAACACUCAUGGCUAAACACCCCCAAAGACUCUGGGAGCUAUAGUUGGAAAAGGGUGCCAAGAGUUGUUAGGGGACCCCGUUCCCUGCCAAGAAGGGAACCCUACCUCUACCCCUACCCCUACCCCUGACGCUCACCCUAACUCUAGCCCUAACACUAACCUUUAAGCCUUAACUAGAGCUACAAUUCCCAGAGUUCCCUGGCAAAAAGGGAACCCUAACCCUAAUCCUAACCCUGCCCCCUAACUAGAGCUACAAUUCCCAGAGUUCCCUGCCAAGGGAACCCCAACCCUACCCCUGCCCCUGACGCUAACCCUAAUUCUAACCCUUAGCUUUAAUUAGAGCUACAAUUCCCAGGGUUCCCUGGCAAGAAGGGAACCCUAACCCUAACCCUAACCCUAACCCUGCCCCUAACUAGAGCUACAAUUCCCAGAGUUCCCUGGCAAAAAGGGAACCCCAACCCUACCCCUGCUCCUGACGCUAACCCUAACUCUAACCCUUAACCCUUAACUAGAGCUACAAUUCCCAGAGUUCCCUGGCAAGAAGGAACCCUACCCCAACCCCUACCCCAACCCCUACCCUACCCCUACCCCAACCCCUACCCUACCCCUAGUCCUAAUACUUAACCAUAACAAGUCUCCGUCCCCUUAACCACCUACAGUUCCCAGAAUCCCUGAGGGGAAGCCAUUCCUGUUUAAAGCAUCUUCAUAGCACUUUCAAUGGACGGUGCGCCUAAUGUGGCCUAAUGUUUCCUCCCUCAUUUUCUUCUCUCUCCCCCCUGCCCCAUCACUUGCAAUGCAGCAGGUGUCCGCCUGCAGUCUCCUUCAAAGCUCCUUCUCUCCAGGUAUGGCCACGGCCUUGUCCAUUGCUCACUGCCAGUAUUUCACGUUCACUUCUCCAA